rnacentral:rRNA from 1 species
AACGCGAAGAACCUUACCUGGGUUUGACAUGCACAGGACGCUGGUAGAGAUAUCAGUUCCCUUGUGGUCUGUGUGCAGGUGCUGCAUGGCUGUCGUCAGCUCGUGCCGUGAGGUGUUGGGUUAAGUCCCGCAACGAGCGCAACCCUUAUCAUUAGUUGCCAACGCGUAAUGGCGGGGACUCUAGUGAGACUGCCUAGGUUAACUAGGAGGAAGGUGAGGAUGACGUCAAGUCCGCAUGGCCUUUAUGUCUGGGGCUACACACGUGCUACAAUGGUCGGUACAGAAGGCUGCAAGACCGCAAGGUGGAGCAAAUCCGUAAAGCCGAUCUCAGUUCGGAUUGUAGUCUGCAACUCGGCUACAUGAAGUUGGAAUUGCUAGUAAUGACGUGUCAGCAACAACGUCGUGAAUACGUUCCCGGGCCUUGUACACACCGGUACUA